GUUUCUGCCUUAUUCCCUGGCCUCAGGCUAACUCUUAGCCUUUCUGCAAGUAGGACAAGAAGGAAAUGAUUUGGACAAAGGUGUAACGACCUGUGAGAGUUUGAUGUUGAAGUAUAAGAACUUCCAUGAGGGUUUUCAAGAUGGCAGUCAGUCCUUUCAUGAACAAGUUCUAAGCGACCUCUUGCACAGCCUUGGGUUGAGACGGAUGGCCACUCAAGCCACUCAAUGGAGUCCCUGGAUUUGAACUACAUGUUCCCAAAUCCAUCCAGGGAGCUUUAAUGCAAGGCUCUUACAUGUUUUGAAGAUCUGAUAAUGCUGCGACCAGCAAAGAAUCUGAAGUGACAUUCUGGGAUAUGAGAAUGCCCCGUUCCAUUCCCUCAGUUCCCACAAGGCCUCCUGUACCCUGAUGAAUUUUAAACAGUAAAACUUUC